rnacentral:rRNA from 1 species
AGGUCACUGCUAUCGGUGUUCGAUUAAGCCAUGCGAGUCGUGAGGGGUAAAGCCCUCGGCGGAGUGCUCAGUAACACGUGGACAACCUACCCAAGAGUCAGGGAUAACCCCGGGAAACUGGGGAUAAUACCUGAUAGGCCAUGACAUCUGGAAUCGAGUUGUGGUUUAAACGUAAGGCUCUUGGAUGGGUCUGCGGCGGAUUAGGUUGUUGCCGGUGUAACGUACCAGCAAGCCUGUAAUCCGUACGGGUUGUGGGAGCAAGAGCCCGGAGAUGGAUUCUGAGACACGAAUCCAGGCCCUACGGGGCGCAGCAGGCGCGAAAACUCUACAAUGCAGGCAACUGCGAUAGGGGAACAUCGAGUGGCAUCCACCAUGGAUGUCUGUCCAAUCGUCUAAAAAACGAUUGUCAGCAAGGGCCGGGCAAGACCGGUGCCAGCCGCCGCGGUAAUACCGGCGGCUCGAGUGGUGGCCGAUAUUAUUGAGUCUAAAGGGUCCGUAGCCGGCUUUGCAAGUCCUAUGGGAAACCCAGCGGCUUAACCGUUGGGCUUUCAUGGGAUACUACAUUGCUUGGGACUGGGAGAGGUAGGAGGUACUCAGGGGGUAGGGGUGAAAUCCUGUAAUCCUUUGGGGACCACCGGUGGCGAAGGCGUCCUACCAGAACAGGUCCGACGGUGAGGGACGAAAGCUAGGGGCACGAACCGGAUUAGAUACCCGGGUAGUCCUAGCCGUAAACGAUGCUCGCUAGGUGUCACGGCAGUCGUGAAUUGUCGUGGUGCCGUAGGGAAGCCGUGAAGCGAGCCACUUGGGAAGUACGACCGCAAGGUUGAAACUUAA